UCCCAUUGAAGUUGAGGACGAAAUCUUUUCUGUCACACACUGGAGUAGAGUGAUGCUGGUAACGGGGCAGUCCCACUGAAAGAAGAAAGAAAAAAAAACCUCUUCAGAAACAAAGUCAUCCAGUGGAUGGCAGGGUGUCUUAUUUUGCCUCAGAGUACAAAAGGUGCUGCUGUGCCUUUUAGUAAAUUGCUAGACAGCUGGUAGAGAAAGCCCAGCUUUAGAAGUAGCUCAAACACACCAACUGCACGUCAUAGAAUUGCUUUGGAAUCAUUAUGUUUUGUUUUGAUGCUCGCACAAACACAGAGCAAGUUCCCCCUCGAGGGGGAUUCUUAUGUCCUGGAAUUCCAAUUUUAUUCUCUGAGGCUGGGGCGUGCACUUUAAUCUCAGAAUGAGCACAGGUACCGGACAACUAGACCCAGACUCUGGUUCCGGGUCUCUCCCGGCAGAGCUCCUGGCCUGUGCUGCCCUGAGCCCUGGCUUCAGGGAGGGCCAAGCACCCUACCCCAGAAACACCACUGCGGCCUUCUUUCUGAGCCUUGUUUCCCAACUAACUGGGCCGGUCACAGCAGCGAGCGCAGAGGACUCCCUGUGCCAAAGGGGACGAUAGAAAACAACCCAAUCGCAAGAUGAAGGGAUGGGGCAGAAAAGCACGCCUCUUCUCCUGCCCCUCCGCAGGCAUCUUCGUGGGUCCCGAACGUCUUAGACUUCCUCUAGAGAAGCCGGGACUUCAGGGCGCAGAGAAAUGCCCUUUGGUCCGAAGCAUCUGGCAGCGCGAGGAGUCCCUGAGGUAGCCCCAGGCUGGAGGGGGACAGAGAAGGCCUGGACCCUGCUCUCCCGGGGCGGCUCCCCGGUCCCCGGCCUGCACCGGGCCGCUUGACCUCCACCCGCCGCCGGCUUUUGCUUUUGCUUUCUCGGCGCCUCCUGGCCCCGGGGCGCAAUCGGCCCGCAGUGCCCUGCGCACUGGGCCCCAGAGGCUGCUGGACCGGGCCCUCUCGGCACCGGGCUGCGUUAGGUCCAUUCGCCCGGGUCUUUUCUUAGUUAACCGAGUGGUGUGGGGACCAUAAAGUGCACGUCGCUUCGGGCCGGAUUCAGUUUUUCAGUGCAAGAAAACCGUAACCACGGCCCGCCGGGCUCGGGCCCUGCUCUCGUGGCCUCAGCCCCGCCGUGUCCCCGCAAUGCCGGAGCGAGGCGGCUGCUCAGGGGCCGCUGCCUACUUCCUUGCCCGCAACACCUACCCGAACACACCCGGCGCUGCGCUAACGCAGCUGCCCUGUCCCGCGAGCCCCGAUGUGUGCGCGGCGCUCUGCACACAGGUGAGUUCCCUCGUCGCGUUAAAGCAAGUUCUGAUGGCAAGUCCUGGACCACAAAAUAGCAGGCUCGGGAGGAGAGAGGGCGAGCGCUCACACCUGCCCACGAAGGCGGCCGUCGGCGCUUUGAUGUGCUGAGCGGGAUGACAGAAGCCCGAGCUCCUUCCUGAAGUGCUCGCAGGGCUUAAUGGAGAACUCCAGGGCAGCCCCUGCGCCGGCAGGGGCACAUGGACCAUGGCCACCAGGCCCAGGAGCGGAGGGCGCGGCCCUUGGGGUGUGCUGGGGGAGGGAGGGUCGUGCUGGGUGUGUGCGCGUAGACAUGUGCUGAUCUGUGUGCCGGGGAGACUGCCUUGGCCACCCCCGCGCCUCGCCGGGCCCCCAGGCCUCAGUGGGCGGCGCGCUCCCAACUAGGCCCCGCGGGGUCCCGGUGCAUCCGGCCGGCUCCUCCGAAGCCUCCACCGCUGGCGCUCCAGGGAGAUGGCAACAGGGCCGGGUGGGUAUCCUAUAGGGACGGGAGCAAGACAGCGAGGAAGGAAGGGCAGAGGGUCCCUGUCGGGCGUCAGGCCCGAGCUAUUGUCUCCCCCGGGCGUUCCCAGACUCGGUCGGGGGUUCUGCGAGGCUCCCAGGGAAGGCCGGCCGCGGGAGGCCGCUGGGUAGGGGCACAGAGGCCGGCUUGCUUUGCUGGGCAGUUUUCACCCCCUCCAAGACAGUAAUGUAUCCAGAUUCCGAAGUUUUGGGAGCUUGUGCCUGCGCCCAGUGUUAUGAGGUGGGGCGAGAGCAGCCUUGAGGAAGGGUCAGGAGUCUCUUUCCUGUGUGCUUUUUUUUCUUCCUAGAGUACGGUUUCUCCAAGGCUGCUAAGCCUCAGAGUCCGGGUUCAAGUUGAGUGGAUCUGCCGGGAGAGGAGAAGAAGGGGAGCAGGGAGGGCAGCUGGCAGGCUGGGAGAGGAGCAGGCAGGCGGGGAAGGGAAGGGGCCAGUGCACCGAGGGGUGUGUGUGUGUGUGUGUGUGUGUGUGUGUGUGUGUGUGUGUGAUUGACAGCCGGUCCAAGGGAAUACAAAAAUAAGAGGGGAAGGCCGCCUGUAUUGGUUACUUGUUGAAAUUCCCAUAAAAUUGAACAAGACUCUGUUCUCAGUGGGUUAAGUCAGGCUAAAAUCCUCUCCGGUGUGGUCCUGCCGAGACUGUCUUUGUUUGGUUAACCUCUGAGACCCACAUUUAAAAGGCCUAUUUGGGAAAUUUCACCGUCCAGGGAACCAACAUCUUUUGCCCAUUUCUGGGCUUUCCUUCUCCCCGGGUGCUCCCGCUGCACACCGGCUCAGGAACACAUAAAGCAUGCAUCACCCUCCAAGCCACUGUCUCAUUGCUGUGGGAGGCCAGUGUGAGAGAGUAGCUUGGGGCCUUGCCUUUGACUGGCAGGCCCAUGGGAUUUUAAUCUGCAGCCCUAGGUGCUCCGAGCGAGGGGUUAAUGUAAGGGUUUAUCUCUGUUCUUCACAUUAACCUGGUCAAAUAUUCAAAUUCCCUCUUCCAUCCCUACCGUCCCCUCCCACCUUUCACCGCCUUCAGCAAGUCAAUAAUUUUUCAUAAUCUGCAACCAGAACAAUGUAAACCAGCCACACUACAAGUGGCAUCCACAGGGCAGGCGCAUUUCUCAGGGGAGUCCUAGCAGGGUCCUUCAGGUCCUGCCACCCAGGACCUGUAUCAUCAAUGUGGGUCCAUUGUUGGGCGGGGGGGGAGGCAGGGAAGGGGAGGAGUCUCCAACAGUUUGGUGACCCCCUCCACUGGCAAAUGUCCCUUUAGUGAAAGAUCCUGGGAUCCAGCUCUGUCCCUCCCACCCCCUCCUCUUAACACUUGCCCAGCUGCAAACAUCUCGCUGCAGACACCCCAACAUACAGAACAUAUCUGAUUCUGACAUUUACUUCGGGACAGAAGUACAGCAAAAUGAACGCAAGGAAAAAAAGGGACAAAAGGAACUAGACACAGCUUCCUGACCAAGUUCCCCAAAGGCCAGAUGCCUUCUCUCCAAGCUAAGUGAGACUCUGAACGGGAGACCUGCAGUCUCCUGCACAGGGAUCCCCAAAGAGCCCAGGAAGGCAGGGGACUUUACACCACGCUCACAGCAGCCAGACAAUUCUGAAGCUUCGGCUGCUGGCCAGGGAUACUGGGAGGACAGUAAGACCCUGAUCCCUGCUCCCACGAAUAAGAUGCCGGCUUUCCCCAGCAUCUGCUUUUCCCAGUGCCCUCAGACCUCCUAGCUUCGGGGUCCCUGUUUGUGGGAGUGGCAGUGGCCGCCAGCCCUGGAGGCCUAGAAGCGGUGCGCCCAGCUGGCUGGGCUGGAGCGUGCUGCGUUACCUGAGAGGUCCUCGCGAGCGUUCUGGUGCAAGUAGCUCUGCUCCAGCGAGUAGGAGGACAUGCUGGAGUGCAGGCCUGCCGAGGCGGCGGGGUUGCUGCUGGGCGUCAGGGCAGGCGGCUGCUUGAGGGCCUGCAGGCUCCCCGACAAUUGUUAGGGCGACUGGGGGCCGCCGCAGGGUUGCGGGCCGCUGGCGAUCGUGGACGUUUUCGGAACUUUGAGCAGAGGGAUUUACACUGAGAAACCUAGGCCAAGUUUCAAAGACUCUGGAAACCUGGAUCUCAUGGGACUUAGGGUUGCAUUUGCUUCCACUUCUUCCCCCCACCCCCGCACCCCAGUUAGUGUUCUGUAAGAAAAAAGUGCAAAAGAAAAAGGAAGGAAGGAAGAAAAGAAAGAAAGAGAAAGAAAAAGAAAGACCCUGAGAUAAGCGAGAUGGCUAUAUUUAUAGUCAGUCCUGAAGGGGUGUGCAGCUGUCACUAGGUUUACAUCCUCCGUCUUAACAUUGCCCACCCAAAACUGUGCCAGGUCUCAGCUAACUCCUGUCCGAGAACACUUCUCCCCAGUUGUGGCUAAUUCCUCCCUAAGUAAGAGUCAGGCUCUGAGAGAGAUGUGCCCUCGGGAGCAAUCACUUCCAAUGAGACCCGACAGUUAGUUAUUGGAUUACACGUGCAGGGAAAUGUAGUCCGACCAGGGAUAGGAGCUGGGAGAGGGAGGAGGAGAGCAGGAGGCCGGA
rnacentral:lncRNA from 1 species